CAAGCUCUGAACACCCUCAGAAAUGAUGGAUGGAAAUGUGUCAAAAAAUGAAUUAAACCCUGAUAUUCCCAUUUUCUUUGCGUUCCAUCUCAGAAAAUGAAAAGGGGAUGCUGUGGCCCUUUGCUCUUCACUCAUGUUCAUUACAGAUGAACUAAAUAAGAAGGAGAAGAAUGGACCAAGAAUCCGAGUGUGGUGCAUGGACAGCAAGCAGAGUGACCAAGUCACAGGAGAGAAAAAUCU